UACGUAGGGUGCAAGCGUUAAUCGGAAUUACUGGGCGUAAAGCGUGCGCAGGCGGUUUGGUAAGACCGAUGUGAAAUCCCCGGGCUUAACCUGGGAAUGGCAUUGGUGACUGCACGGCUAGAGUGUGGCAGAGGGGGGUAGAAUUCCACGUGUAGCAGUGAAAUGCGUAGAGAUGUGGAGGAAUACCGAUGGCGAAGGCAGCCCCCUGGGAUAACACUGACGCUCAUGCACGAAAGCGUGGGGAGCAAACAGG
rnacentral:rRNA from 1 species